UGCUUCUCCUUCUUCUUUUUUUUUUUUUUUUCCAUUCCAUCGUCAUCGUCUCCUAUUGUGGCGACUCUUUCGCUGCGGAGAAAGAAAAAAAAACAAGUUGGAAAUUUG
rnacentral:ribozyme from 15 species